GCUGCCGCUGCGGCGCCGGCUCCGAGGUUCCGGAACCUGGGAGGGCUUCCGGAACGAGAGCGGCUGUGCUCCGGGGCCCGCGCGCCGCGGCGGGUGUGCCUUGAACUGUGGGUGGGCGACAGGUGUGUCUCCCGUGGGGCACGCGGGGCGCCGUGUGCGGUGUGGACGGCCGCUAACACGAGUUAGCGAGUGAUAACGCGAGUGCGCGCCGGGGCGUGCGGGCGCUGCGGGCGGAGGGCCCGGUGCGGACUCCCCGGUGGGACGAUGAGGCGGCGUCCCCGCAAGGCCACCGCCGGGAGAGGCGCGGCGGCCUGGCCAGAGCGUCCCGUCCGCUCCCGCUGGGGAAGGGCCCGGACUCGGCCGCGGAGCACCCCCGUCACCCCCACCCCAGCACCGCGAGGGAGGCGGGGACAGCUGCGCGGCGACGCCUGCUGUCCCCCCCCAGGAACCGGGUGUGGGUGCCGCCUGGCCGAGAACUCUCCGCACGGGGCCCGAGUAUCCGACCAGGGAAGAGAGAAAUUUAGGACCGUGUUUUUCACGUUGUUUCAAGACCUCUCGGAGUCGGAGUGGUGGCCCUCAAGCGUGGGUGCCUCGGUUCCCUGUCGCAGCAGGCGUGAAUGAAUGAGUGAACGAGUGAAUGAAAGGUGAAUACAUUUAAAACAAAACCACCCCACACACCACGGUGAGGGCUUAUUGAAGACCCCCAAGCCACUUCGGAUUAAGUCAAAAUCAGAAAUUAAGCCAAUCAAAAGUAUAUAACUGUGCCUAUGCUGGAGUUGUUGACUGUUUUUGAUGUUUUAGAUUUUUUUUUUUUCGCUGCUCAGGAAGCUAAAAUAGAGGAAGUUGUUCAGUAGUGCCAUCUGCUAAUUCACCAUGGUUUAAAAAAAUGAAAUAGUCAUCAGCAAAGACAUAUCCACUAAGGGGGUUCACUCACUCACCAUAUGGGGGCCCUUCCCUUCACCGGUCAGUCAACGCGAGAAUCCCAUCCAAUCUCCUGGAGUUAGUUAGUAAAGUCACAUUGCGGGCAGUGUGAGAGGAGCGGGAGGUGCACGCUGGCCCGGGUGGCACCAGAAAUGGGGGAGCCACCUCCGUGUGUGUGCACUGGCCACUCGUACAGACCACCAAGGCCCGUUUGCCAGCCCUCACCGUGCCCACCGCAGGAAGACCCUGCAGUGCUUCAGAAGGUUCCUCUUUCUGAAGAUGUCACUGGGAUGGAGAAACGGAUUAUUCACGAUGCUCCCAGUUGCCCGGGAAAAGCCCAGAAGGCUGAGUGAAAGGAACAUGCUGGACUUCUUAAAUGACACUCCAUUAUUUUGGAAAAGCAAAUGCUGACUUCCUGAUUCAUUUGUGGUGUCUGUGUCUGGAACUUACCGUCACGGUACCUCUGCAUCACCCGGGACAGUGGCUCUCAGCUGUGGCUGUGCGGAGGACUCCCGGCAGAGCUUCUCAGUGACCAGCGCCUGGCUCCACUCCUGGAGGUGCUGGCCUUCGUGUGCUCAGAGCAUUCGCACCGUCAGCCCAGACGGAGAACGGACCGAGAAGGCUGGUUGGCCGUCUACAUUUAUCUUAAUUUUCUGUUCAAUGUUAAGUGCGGUUCCUUGAGACACUGGGUCAUUUAAGAGGACAGAGAGCACAAUUAUCCACCUAACUUGGAGUUUCUAACUGAAGCAGAGCCCUGCCACAGAGCCCCAGACCCACGGCCACUGCAUUGCGUGGUCUGCCUGAAAGGGGCAGGCUGAAGAGGGCAGGAUGGCCAAGGACAGCCGAGGACAUGGCCCCAGAGCCCGUGGGGUGUCAGCUGACCGGGGUGGGGAUCGUCAGGGCUCGGUGGUGCCUGGGCCGUGGGCGUGGCAGACAGUCAUGGCAGCGCUGUUCUCACACCUUUACUUGUAUCAACUCACUAAACCUUCCCAACAGCUCUGCCCAGUGUCACUGUCCCCACUUUACAGAGGAGGAAACUGA